UACGUAGGGAGCGAGCGUUGUCCGGAAUUACUGGGUGUAAAGGGUGCGUAGGCGGGACUGCAAGUCAGGCGUGAAAUACCGGAGCUUAACUCCGGGGCUGCGCUUGAAACUGUGGUUCUUGAGUGAAGUAGAGGUAGGCGGAAUUCCUAGUGUAGCGGUGAAAUGCGUAGAUAUUAGGAGGAACACCAGUGGCGAAGGCGGCCUACUGGGCUUUAACUGACGCUGAGGCACGAAAGCAUGGGGAGCAAACAGG
rnacentral:rRNA from 1 species